UAUUCCGUGAUAUUGAAUAAGUCUCACAAGAUCUGGUGGGUUUAUCAGGGGUUUCUGCUUUUGCUUCUUCCUCAGUUUCUCUUGCUGCCAUCAUGUAAGAAGGACCUUUUACCUCCCACCAUGAUUCUAAGGCCUCCCCAGCCACGUGGAACUAUAUCAGGUGGCUUCUUCAAAUGAAUUUUUAAGUAUCUCGAUGAUGAUGAAGAACAAAGACAUCAAUCAGGAUUCAGGAAGACAGCUUUUGCGGAAAAUGCUUAAAAGGAAGCAUCAAGGAUUGGUGUUGAUAUUUGAAAGUUUAAGAGUGGUAUACUUUUAUUCAGUCAACACAUGCCAAAUGUAAAAGGCACUCAUUUGUUGUUCCUGGAAGAAGCCUGGCAGCAUUCCAUUCAGACAUCUGCCCUUUCAUCGUCCCACUUUUUACUUAUUGCAGUCCUUUCAGUCUGAAUAUUUCCUCCUGACGCAUCUUCUGCCGUCCGAAAUGACUCCCUGCUCCCGGAUCCUGUAGCCCUUAUUAUUGACACCUUUCAUUUAGAAAUUUAGCACAUGUCACAUUACACCAUUAUUGA
rnacentral:lncRNA from 1 species